GAUGAAGAACGUAGUGAAAUGCGAUAAGUAGUGUGAAUUGCAGAAUUCAGUGAAUCAUCGAAUCUUUGAACGCACAUUGCGCCCCUUGGUAUUCCAUGGGGCAUGCCUGUUCGAGCGUCAUUUGUACCUUCAAGCUCUGCUUGUGUUGGGGUCCUGCGGCUGCCCGCAGGCCCUGAAACCCAGUGGCGGGCUCGCUAGUCACACCGAGCGCAGUAGCACAUCUCGCUCAGGGCGUGCGGCGGGUUCUUGCCGUAAAACAACCCCCCCUUUUCACCAAGGUUGACCUCGGAUCAGGUAGGAAUACCCGCUGAACUUAAGCAUAUCAAAGCGGAGGA
rnacentral:misc_RNA from 1 species